UACGGAGGGUGCAAGCGUUAUCCGGAUUUACUGGGUUUAAAGCGUGCGCAGGCGGUUAUGUAAGACAGGUGUGAAAUCCCCGGGCUUAACCUGGGAACUGCAUUUGUGACUGCAUAGCUAGAGUACGGUAGAGGGGGAUGGAAUUCCGCGUGUAGCAGUGAAAUGCGUAGAUAUGCGGAGGAACACCGAUGGCGAAGGCAAUCCCCUGGACCUGUACUGACGCUCAUGCACGAAAGCGUGGGGAGCAAACAGG
rnacentral:rRNA from 1 species